CGUGCAGGCGGUUCGGUAAGUUGGACGUGAAAGCUCUCGGCUCAACUGGGAGAGGUCGUUCAAUACUGUCGGACUUGAGGAUGGUAGAGGGAGGUGGAAUUCCGGGUGUAGUGGUGAAAUGCGCAGAUAUCCGGAGGAACACCAGUGGCGAAAGCGGCCUCCUGGACCAUUCCUGACGCUCAGACGCGAAAGCUAGGGUAGCGAACG
rnacentral:rRNA from 1 species